UACGGGGGGGGCAAGCGUUGUUCGGAAUUACUGGGCGUAAAGGGCGCGUAGGCGGGCAGGUAAGUCAGUGGUGAAAUCUCCGGGCUUAACUCGGAAACUGCCAUUGAUACUAUCUGUCUUGAAUACCGUGGAGGUCAGCGGAAUAUGUCAUGUAGCGGUGAAAUGCUUAGAUAUGACAUAGAACACCAAUUGCGAAGGCAGCUGGCUACACGAAUAUUGACACUGAUGCACGAAAGCGUGGGGAUCAAACAGG
rnacentral:rRNA from 1 species